GGGGAAUUAGCUCAAGUGGUAGAGUGCUUGCUUUGCAUGCGAGAGGCAGUGGGAUCAAUGCCCACAUUCUCCA
rfam:Pelodiscus sinensis unplaced genomic scaffold scaffold4590, whole genome shotgun sequence.